UACGAAGGAGGCUAGCGUUGCUCGGAAUCACUGGGCGUAAAGGGUGCGUAGGCGGGUCUUUAAGUCAGGGGUGAAAUCCUGGAGCUCAACUCCAGAACUGCCUUUGAUACUGAAGAUCUUGAGUUCGGGAGAGGUGAGUGGAACUGCGAGUGUAGAGGUGAAAUUCGUAGAUAUUCGCAAGAACACCAGUGGCGAAGGCGGCUCACUGGCCCGAUACUGACGCUGAGGCACGAAAGCGUGGGGAGCAAACAGGGAUUAGAAACCCCAGUAACG
rnacentral:rRNA from 1 species